UACAGGGGGGGGCAAGCGUUGUUCGGAAUUACUGGGCGUAAAGGGCUCGUAGGCGGCCAACUAAGCCCGACGUGAAAUCCCCAGGCUUAACCUGGGAACUGCGUCGGAUACUGGAUGGCUUGAAUUCGGGAGAGGGAUGCAGAAUUCCAGGUGUAGCGGUGAAAUGCGUAGAUAUCUGGAGGAAUACCGGUGGCGAAGGCGGCAUCCUGGACCGACAUUGACGCUGAUGAGCGAAAGCUAGGGGAGCAAACGGG
rnacentral:rRNA from 1 species